CUCCCGCGCCGCAUCCGCCAACGAGGAGGCCGGGACUGUCGGAUCCGGUGACUCCGGCCUCCUCUCCGGCAGAUCCGGCCGCCCUGA
rnacentral:pre_miRNA from 1 species